GGGACAUACUGUUCCCAUAGAAAGAGAAAAAGCAAGAGAAUUGUCAAAAACACUCAAUGGCUCAUCCAAUUUCUAUAAGUGUCAUACGACUACCCGUUCACUUGUCAUUGGCAAAGCAAGUCACAUGACCAAACCCUACUUCUGGAGCCUCGAGGAGAACUCAGAUGAACAAAUGAUGACAAUAUAUCCAACCAUUCGAUACCACUGAGACAACAUUUUCCCUCUGUCUUCUUGCCAUUGUCAAGCAAACUUUGAAUGCAUCGUCAGUAAGUGCUAUAUGAAAAACCUGGCUGAAGAUAUCGUAAAAGACAUAUGGACAGGAAUCCAAAUUUCAGCUCCCCACACUGCACUUGCUAGUUGAAGGCUUUGCAGGACGUACCCCAGAAGCAUUAUGUCCAAUGACACUUUGGACAGGCCACAUUGCUGUGGACCUUCUGGGAUGCUGGCCAUUCAGACCCCAGGUCUGCCACAGAAGGGACAGUCGGAAGUGAGGGAAUCCUCCAGGAAAAAUCUGUUUGCAGAUGCAAAGCCAUGGAUCCUUCUUACCUGUCCACACUAGGAACUCUGCAUCUGUUUCUCUGCACAAAGAAAAAUACCACCAACAAUGCUUAACUGAAAAUCUGCCUUUCUUGAGUUCCGUUCUCCAUUUUGAAGCCAGCUAUUACCAAUACUCAAGCAUAAACAACACCCUCUUCUCCCCACUAUGAUCAAAAAGUUCAAGAGGUGAAAUCCACUGCUCUUUUUUGUGUUGUUGCUUAAAUGACAAUCCACUUUUUUAU